UUCGGUAUAGUGUAAAGGCUGCACGUAACUCUUUGAAAGUUAAGGAUUUAGUUCGAUUCUAAAUACCGAAAC
rnacentral:tRNA from 1 species